GUGCUCAGGGUGGCAUGGCAGCACGUGUACUAAACUGGACCAUUACAGAGAUUAGCAGGACCCUUGUUCAAGAAUAACAUGCAAAUUCUUGAAACAUUUUAUGUUUUU